rnacentral:rRNA from 1 species
UCAGGCCUAACACAUGCAAGUCGAACGAACCCUUCGGGGUUAGUGGCGCACGGGUGCGUAACGCGUGGGGAUCUGCCCUUUGCUUCGGAAUAACAGUUAGAAAUGACUGCUAAUACCGGAUGAUGUCGAAAGACCAAAGAUUUAUCGGCAAAGGAUGAACCCGCGUAGGAUUAGCUAGUUGGUGGGGUAAAGGCCUACCAAGGCGACGAUCCUUAGCUGGUCUGAGAGGAUGAUCAGCCACACUGGGACUGAGACACGGCCCAGACUCCUACGGGAGGCAGCAGUGGGGAAUAUUAACGGAUGGGCGAAAGCCUGAUCCAACAAUGCCGC